UGCAUUCACUACUGUAAGUCGCUCUGGAUAAGAGCAUCUGCGAAAUGACAAAAA
rfam:Salmo salar isolate Sally breed double haploid chromosome ssa13, whole genome shotgun sequence.